ACGGGAGGCAGCAGUGGGGAAUAUUGGACAAUGGGGGAAACCCUGAUCCAGCGACGCCGCGUGAGUGAAGAAGUAUUUCGGUAUGUAAAGCUCUAUCAGCAAGGAAGAAAAUGAAGGUACUUGACUAAGAAGCUCCGGCUAAAUACGUGCCAGCAGCCGCGGUAAUACGGAGGAUGCGAGCGUUAUCCGGAUUUAUUGGGUUUAAAGGGUGCGCAGGCGGGCUGUUAAGUCAGCGGUGAAAUCUCCGGGCUCAACUCGGAAACUGCCGUUGAUACCGGCGGUCUUGAUUCAUGUCGAGGAUGGCGGAAUGCAGCGUGUAGCGGUGAAAUGCUUAGAUACGCUGCAGAACUCCGAUUGCGAAGGCAGCUGUCCAGAGAUGCAAUGACGCUCAGGCACGAAAGCAUGGGGAUCGAACAGGAUUAGAUACCCUGGUA
rnacentral:rRNA from 1 species